GUGUUAUUUAUGUGGUAAGGAGACUCUCAGCUCUGUUCUAUUAAAUGAGAUUUCUCAUGCAGUCUGGUAGACAUGCAGACGGAUUGCUCAGUGACACCUGGCAGAACAUCUAUUCCCUCUGAUUGGUGCUUCACACAUUUUAUAUUUGAAAAGGUAAUGAGAAUGUCAUGCAAUGAAGAAAACUAAAGCAGACUACAAAGCAAUGCUUGGGCACUGGUUCCAUCACGGGAGUCAGGCUUUUGGAAGAGGUGUGAUUAGAACAGCAACAUUGUACUGAGGUGGAGGCAGAGAACCUCAAUGUUAAAGGAUGAACCACAGGAUGAAAGGAGUUUGGGUUUUCAAUUUUCCCUAUGAAUUGUUAUGUGAAGAAGAAAAAAGUCCUAUCUUUAAAACACUGAAAUUGUGGAGAACUGCUACUAUAAUGUUGAAUAGAAGAGGUAGGAGAAGAGCUCCUUGUCUUGUUUCUCAUGCAGGAAGAAAAGCAUUAAGUCUUUUACUGUAAGUAUGAUAUAAAAUAGAUGCCUUUAAUCAGUUUAAGAAUA
rnacentral:lncRNA from 1 species